rnacentral:rRNA from 1 species
UUAAAUUGAAGAGUUUGAUCAUGGCUCAGAUUGAACGCUGGCGGCAGGCCUAACACAUGCAAGUCGAGCGGUAGCACAGAGAGCUUGCUCUCGGGUGACGAGCGGCGGACGGGUGAGUAAUGUCUGGGAAACUGCCUGAUGGAGGGGGAUAACUACUGGAAACGGUAGCUAAUACCGCAUAACGUCGCAAGACCAAAGUGGGGGACCUUCGGGCCUCAUGCCAUCAGAUGUGCCCAGAUGGGAUUAGCUAGUAGGUGGGGUAACGGCUCACCUAGGCGACGAUCCCUAGCUGGUCUGAGAGGAUGACCAGCCACACUGGAACUGAGACACGGUCCAGACUCCUACGGGAGGCAGCAGUGGGGAAUAUUGCACAAUGGGCGCAAGCCUGAUGCAGCCAUGCCGCGUGUGUGAAGAAGGCCUUCGGGUUGUAAAGCACUUUCAGCGGGGAGGAAGGCGAUAAGGUUAAUAACCUUGUCGAUUGACGUUACCCGCAGAAGAAGCACCGGCUAACUCCGUGCCAGCAGCCGCGGUAAUACGGAGGGUGCAAGCGUUAAUCGGAAUUACUGGGCGUAAAGCGCACGCAGGCGGUCUGUCAAGUCGGAUGUGAAAUCCCCGGGCUCAACCUGGGAACUGCAUUCGAAACUGGCAGGCUAGAGUCUUGUAGAGGGGGGUAGAAUUCUAGGUGUAGCGGUGAAAUGCGUAGAGAUCUGGAGGAAUACCGGUGGCGAAGGCGGCCCCCUGGACAAAGACUGACGCUCAGGUGCGAAAGCGUGGGGAGCAAACAGGAUUAGAUACCCUGGUAGUCCACGCCGUAAACGAUGUCGAUUUGGAGGUUGUGCCCUUGAGGCGUGGCUUCCGGAGCUAACGCGUUAAAUCGACCGCCUGGGGAGUACGGCCGCAAGGUUAAAACUCAAAUGAAUUGACGGGGGCCCGCACAAGCGGUGGAGCAUGUGGUUUAAUUCGAUGCAACGCGAAGAACCUUACCUGGUCUUGACAUCCACAGAACUUAGCAGAGAUGCUUUGGUGCCUUCGGGAACUGUGAGACAGGUGCUGCAUGGCUGUCGUCAGCUCGUGUUGUGAAAUGUUGGGUUAAGUCCCGCAACGAGCGCAACCCUUAUCCUUUGUUGCCAGCGGUUAGGCCGGGAACUCAAAGGAGACUGCCAGUGAUAAACUGGAGGAAGGUGGGGAUGACGUCAAGUCAUCAUGGCCCUUACGACCAGGGCUACACACGUGCUACAAUGGCAUAUACAAAGAGAAGCGACCUCGCGAGAGCAAGCGGACCUCAUAAAGUAUGUCGUAGUCCGGAUUGGAGUCUGCAACUCGACUCCAUGAAGUCGGAAUCGCUAGUAAUCGUAGAUCAGAAUGCUACGGUGAAUACGUUCCCGGGCCUUGUACACACCGCCCGUCACACCAUGGGAGUGGGUUGCAAAAGAAGUAGGUAGCUUAACCUUCGGGAGGGCGCUUACCACUUUGUGAUUCAUGACUGGGGUGAAGUCGUAACAAGGUAACCG